CCUACGGGGGGCAGCAGUGAGGAAUAUUGGUCAAUGGGCGCGAGCCUGAACCAGCCACGUCGCGUGAAUGAUGACUGCCCUACGGGUUGUAAACUUCUUUUAUAAAGGAAUAAAGUGCGGCACGUGUGCCUUUUUGUCUGUACUUUAUGAAUCAGGAUAGGCUAACUCCGUGCCAGCAGCAGCGGUAAUACGGAGGAUCCGAGCGUUAUCCGGAUUUAUUGGGUUUAAAGGGAGCGUAGAUGGGUUGUUAAGUCAGUUGUGAAAGUUUGCGGCUCAACCGUAAAAUUGCAAUUGAUACUGGCAGUCGUGAGUACAGGUGAGGUAGGCGGAAUUCGUGGUGUAGCGGUGAAAUGCUUAGAUAUCACGAAGAACGCCGAUUGCGAAGGCAGCUUACUAAACUGCCACUGACAUUGAGGCUCGAAAGUGUGGGUAUCAAACAGGAUUAGAUACCCGUGUAGUC
rnacentral:rRNA from 1 species